GAUCAUGGCUCAGGAUGAACGCUAGCUACAGGCUUAACACAUGCAAGUCGAGGGGCAGCAGUUGGGGUAGCAAUACUCAGAUGCGACCGGCGCACGGGUGAGUAACACGUAUCCAACCUGCCGCUUACUCGGGGAUAGCCUUUCGAAGAAAGAUUAAUACCCGAUGGUAUAAAGAGUUCGCAUGUUCUCUUUAUUAAAAGAAUUUCGGUAAGCGAUGGGGAUGCGUCCAUUAGAUAGUUGGCGGGGUAACGGCCCACCAAGUCUACGAUGGAUAGGGGUUCUGAGAGGAAGGUCCCCCACAUUGGAGCUGAGACACGGUCCAAACUCCUACGGGAGGCAGCAGUGAGGAAUAUUGGUCAAUGGACGAGAGUCUGAACCAGCCAAAAGUAGCGUGAAGGAUGACUGCCCUAUGGGUUGUAAACUUCUUUUAUAAGGGAAUAAAGUGAGGGACGUGUCCCUUUUUGUAUGUACCUUAUGAAUAAGGAUCGGCUAACUCCGUGCCAGCCGCCGC
rnacentral:rRNA from 1 species